rnacentral:rRNA from 1 species
UACGGAGGGUGCAAGCGUUAUCCGGAUUCACUGGGUUUAAAGGGUGCGUAGGCGGAUUAGAAAGUCCGUUGUGAAAUCUCUGAGCUUAACUCGGAAAUUGCGGUGGAUACUAUUAGUCUUGAAUACUGUGGAGGUUAGCGGAAUAUGUCAUGUAGCGGUGAAAUGCAUAGAUAUGACAUAGAACACCAAUGGCGAAGGCAGCUGGCUACACAGAUAUUGACGCUGAGGCACGAAAGCGUGGGGAUCAAACAGG